AAUGGGUCAGCGACUUAUAUUCUGUAGCAAGGUUAACCGAAUAGGGGAGCCGAAGGGAAACCGAGUCUUAACUGGGCGUUAAGUUGCAGGGUAUAGACCCGAAACCCGGUGAUCUAGCCAUGGGCAGGUUGAAGGUUGGGUAACACUAACUGGAGGACCGAACCGACUAAUGUUGAAAAAUUAGCGGAUGACUUGUGGCUGGGGGUGAAAGGCCAAUCAAACCGGGAGAUAGCUGGUUCUCCCCGAAAGCUAUUUAGGUAGCGCCUCGUGAAUUCAUCUCCGGGGGUAGAGCACUGUUUCGGCAAGGGGGUCAUCCCGACUUACCAACCCGAUGCAAACUGCGAAUACCGGAGAAUGUUAUCACGGGAGACACACGGCGGGUGCUAACGUCCGUCGUGAAGAGGGAAACAACCCAGACCGCCAGCUAAGGUCCCAAAGUCAUGGUUAAGUGGGAAACGAUGUGGGAAGGCCCAGACAGCCAGGAUGUUGGCUUAGAAGCAGCCAUCAUUUAAAGAAAGCGUAAUAGCUCACUGGUCGAGUCGGCCUGCGCGGAAGAUGUAACGGGGCUAAACCAUGCACCGAAGCUGCGGCAGCGACACUAUGUGUUGUUGGGUAGGGGAGCGUUCUGUAAGCCUGUGAAGGUGUACUGUGAGGUAUGCUGGAGGUAUCAGAAGUGCGAAUGCUGACAUAAGUAACGAUAAAGCGGGUGAAAAGCCCGCUCGCCGGAAGACCAAGGGUUCCUGUCCAACGUUAAUCGGGGCAGGGUGAGUCGACCCCUAAGGCGAGGCCGAAAGGCGUAGUCGAUGGGAAACAGGUUAAUAUUCCUGUACUUGGUGUUACUGCGAAGGGGGGACGGAGAAGGCUAUGUUGGCCGGGCGACGGUUGUCCCGGUUUAAGCGUGUAGGCUGAUUUUCCAGGCAAAUCCGGAAAAUCAAGGCUGAGGCGUGAUGACGAGGCACUACGGUGCUGAAGCAACAAAUGCCCUGCUUCCAGGAAAAGCCUCUAAGCAUCAGGUAACAUCAAAUCGUACCCCAAACCGACACAGGUGGUCAGGUAGAGAAUACCAAGGCGCUUGAGAGAACUCGGGUGAAGGAACUAGGCAAAAUGGUGCCGUAACUUCGGGAGAAGGCACGCUGAUAUGUAGGUGAAGCGACUUGCUCGUGGAGCUGAAAUCAGUCGAAGAUACCAGCUGGCUGCAACUGUUUAUUAAAAACACAGCACUGUGCAAACACGAAAGUGGACGUAUACGGUGUGACGCCUGCCCGGUGCCGGAAGGUUAAUUGAUGGGGUUAGCGGUAACGCGAAGCUCUUGAUCGAAGCCCCGGUAAACGGCGGCCGUAACUAUAACGGUCCUAAGGUAGCGAAAUUCCUUGUCGGGUAAGUUCCGACCUGCACGAAUGGCGUAAUGAUGGCCAGGCUGUCUCCACCCGAGACUCAGUGAAAUUGAACUCGCUGUGAAGAUGCAGUGUACCCGCGGCAAGACGGAAAGACCCCGUGAACCUUUACUAUAGCUUGACACUGAACAUUGAGCCUUGAUGUGUAGGAUAGGUGGGAGGCUUUGAAGUGUGGA
rnacentral:rRNA from 1 species